rnacentral:rRNA from 1 species
UUACGGGAGGCAGCAGUGAGGAAUAUUGCGCAAUGGACGAAAGUCUGACGCAGCCAUGCCGCGUGCAGGAUGACGGCCCUAUGGGUUGUAAACUGCUUUUGUUUAGGAAGAAACUCAGCUACGUGUAGCUGACUGACGGUACUAUAUGAAUAAGCAUCGGCUAACUCCGUGCCAGCAGCCGCGGUAAUACGGAGGAUGCAAGCGUUAUCCGGAUUUAUUGGGUUUAAAGGGUGCGUAGGCGGGGCUUUAAGUCAGUGGUGAAAUCUUGCAGCUUAACUGUAAAAUUGCCAUUGAUACUGAAGUUCUUGAGUGCGGUUGAAGUAGGCGGAAUGUGUAAUGUAGCGGUGAAAUGCUUAGAGAUUACACAGAACACCGAUUGCGUAGGCAGCUUACUAAGCCGUAACUGACGCUGAGGCACGAAAGUGUGGGGAUCGAACAGGAUUAGAUACCCCGGU